rnacentral:rRNA from 1 species
CGACUCUCGGCAACGGAUAUAUCGGCUCACGCAUCGAUGAAGAACGUAGCAAAAUGCGAUACUUGGUGUGAAUUGCAGAAUCCCGUGAACCAUCGAGUUUUUGAACGCAAGUUGCGCCCGAAGCCAUCCGGUUGAGGGCACGUCUGCCUGGGCGUCACG